AUAGCCGCAGUACCUUGACUGUGSUAAGGUAGCAUAAUAAUUUGGCUUYUAAUUAAAGCCCGGAAUAAACGAGAGAACGAUGCCCCCUCUUUCCUGACAUUCAAAAAUAAAUUGAUAUUUGCCUUAAAAAGGGCAACUYUYUGGGGGGACGAUAAGACCCCGUGAAACUUCAUUAAAAAAAUCAAMUUAAUUUYGAAUUUUAAGCUGGGUAAAUUUUAAUUAAGSUGGGGCGGCAAUUAACUUUYUYUAAAAAAAAAAACAUUAUAAAUGGGCCCGUCARAUCUUUUGAUACAAAUARAACAAGUUACUCCGGGGAUAACAGCACAAUUUUUCCARACAGAUCUUAUGGAAGGAAAARACUUGUGACCUCGAUGUUGAAUUUGAAAGGCCCGGCGUGAGCAAAAACUAGCCAGGGGGAGUCUGUUCGACUUUUAAUUUUUCA
rnacentral:rRNA from 1 species